ACGUAGGGUGCGAGCGUUAAUCGGAAUUACUGGGCGUAAAGCGUGCGCAGGCGGUUGUGCAAGACAGAUGUGAAAUCCCCGGGCUCAACCUGGGAACUGCAUUUGUGACUGCACGACUAGAGUACGGCAGAGGGGGGUAGAAUUCCACGUGUAGCAGUGAAAUGCGUAGAGAUGUGGAGGAAUACCGAUGGCGAAGGCAGCCCCCUGGGCCGAUACUGACGCUCAUGCACGAAAGCGUGGGGAGCAAACAGGAUUAGAUACCCUGGUAGUCCACGCCCUAAACGAUGUCAACUAGUUGUUGGUAGGGUUAAACCUAUUAGUAACGUAGCUAACGCGUGAAGUUGACCGCCUGGGGAGUACGGUCGCAAGAUUA
rnacentral:rRNA from 1 species